GCUCCCAGCCAGCGGGGGCACGCAUGGCUCCAAGCCUCUCCCAGCCCUCCUUUUGAGCCCAGGAGUCCAGCCAGCUCUGCGCUUCUCCCAUGCAUCUGAUGGAUUCCAACCUGAUGAUCCGUGGCAGAGUGACCUCUAGACUUUAUACAAGUUGUAACCUCCUUCUCUUUGCCCCCUUGACUCUCUGAGGGGCAGGGAAACUGAGUCCUGGCAAGGUGGAGGGCAGCUGAAGAAAAGGACCAGAUGUCUAGCAUCCCAGCUGUUAGGCAGGCAAGGCACCCCAGCCACAUGGCAGCCACAUACACUGGACAGACCAGGACACGUGUGUAGGAUAUCAGGUCCAUCCCCCAGCACCCACGGCAGCUCUGGGGCAGACCAGCAUCCUGCUCAUUCCAGCCUCCUGUCUUUGCUCUUCCUGCCCCCUUGCACCAGAGUGCUCUCCUUGGCCCUUUUUACCAACCAGGGGCAGUACAGAGUGGAAAAGAGAUCUGGGUUUGAGUCUCAGCUCACACUUAGCAGUGUGGACUUGGGCAAAUUAUAUAGCUUCCUUGAGCCUCGGUUUCCCCUUGGUAACUGGGGAGAACAGAGCUUCUUGUUACGGAUCAGAUGAGACAAUGUACACAUAGUGCUUAUACACAAAGGACAUUAAUGUUGGAUCCCUUCCUCUGAUCUACUCUCCAAGACCCAGCUCAGUUCAAGUUCUGUCUCCACAACAUUUUCUUUGGCUACCUCAACACUUACACAUAUUUCUCUUGUCUAACUCCUUUUGCAAUUAUUAUAUGUACCAGAGAAUUAAUAACCUCAUUUAAAUAUUUUCUU